ensembl:lncRNA
AAAAACAUCAUCAAAGUAGUCCAUGUGACAUCAGAGGGUCCGUUAGAAUAUAUUGAAGCAUCGAAAAUACAUUUCGGUCCAAAAAUAACAAAAAUUAUGACUUUAUUCCGCUUUUUCUUCUCUUCCGGGUCUGUUGUGAACGCGACUGCUGUGACUGUUGACGUACGACGCUGCUGACGUGUUAUCUUUGUUAUUGGGCGCACCAGAAAACACGUCAGCAGCGUCGUACGUCAACAGUCACAGCAGUCGCGUUCACAACAGACCCGGAAGAGAAGAAAAAGUGGAAUAAAGUCGUAAUUUUUGUUAUUUUUGGAACAAAAUGUAUUUUCGAUGCUUCAAUAAAUUCCAACGGACCCUCUGAUGUCACAUGGACUACUUUGAUGAUGUUUUUAUUACCUUUCUGGACGUGGACAGUAUACCGUACAUACAUUUUCAAUGGAGGGACAGAAAGCUCUAGGACUAAAUCUAAAAUAUCUUAAACUGUGUUCUGAAGAUGAAUGGAGGUCUUACGGGUUUGGAACGACAUGAGGGACUGAGGGAGAUGGAAAUGAGGAGAGCAAUGGAGCUGCAGAAGCCCACCUUUUAGAUAAGGCAAAAGACGGAAUGUUUCAACAAUAGACAGUUAUUCGGUCAAAUGAUGUCCACAAACACUUGCAAAUAUCUUCCAAAUGCAGCUUUCUGACAUUUGAUUCACUUAAUAUACAGCUCUUCCUAAAGGAUUCCUCAUCAAAACACACUUGAGCCUCUUGAUGACGGAUUGCAGCGUCACAGUUGACUUGAAGAGAACGUCAGACUUGUGGUCCUGGUUCUUCUCAGCGACCACUCCACAGAACAAGUCAGAGGUCAGAGAAGGAAAUGAGUUUAAAAGGCAGAUUCAAAAAGAGGAUGGAUUCAGAAAUAGCCAUGGGAGUCUAAUGGAAAAAUCAACAGAAGUGGUCUACCAGAAACCAUCUACAGUAGAUGUACAAUUAGUGCUUCAACAAAGGAUUUGAAAGGGAGGACACAUUUAGC